rnacentral:rRNA from 1 species
UACAGAGGUCUCAAGCGUUGUCCGGAUUUAUUGGGCGUAAAGAGCGUGUAGGCGGCUUUGCAAGUCCGUUGUGAAAACUCGAGGCUCAACCUCGAGACGCCGGUGGAAACUGCAAAGCUAGAGUCCGGAAGAGGAGAGUGGAAUUCCUGGUGUAGCGGUGAAAUGCGCAGAUAUCAGGAGGAACACCCGUGGCGAAAGCGGCUCUCUGGGACGGUACUGACGCUGAGACGCGAAAGCGUGGGGAGCAAACAGG